rnacentral:ncRNA from 2 species
AAACCACGUCCCCAUGAUGGUUCCCAUAUGGUGCGUGCAGGUCACGUCCACGGGAUGAAAAGGGAACCGGGUGCGGUGGUUCAUUCACCUAUGCCCGGACUGCCCCCGCAACUGUAAGCGGUCAGGAUGUCCAUCCGGCGUUCACGCCGGCCCACUGGAGGGUUUGUCUCCGGGAAGGGAGUGUCAUCCUUGUCACAGCCGCAAGUCAGGAGACCUGCCAUCAUACCGGAUGUUGC